rnacentral:rRNA from 1 species
UACGGAGGGUGCGAGCGUUAAUCGGAAUAACUGGGCGUAAAGGGCACGUAGGCGGGAUUUUAAGUGAGAUGUGAAAUCCCCGGGCUGAACCUGGGAAUAGCAUUUGAGACUGGGAUGCUAGAGUACUGUAGGGGAGAGUAGAAUUCCUAGUGUAGCGGUGAAAUGCGUAGAUAUGAGGAGGAAUACCGAAGGCGAAGGCAGCUCUCUGGGAAUGUACUGACGCUCAGGCGCGAAAGCGUGGGGAGCAAACAGG